AACGUAGGAGACAAACGUUAUCCGGAUUUACUGGGCGUAAAGGGCGUGUAGGUGGUUUCGUAAGUCUGGCGUGAAAUUUUUCGGCUUAACCGGGAAAGGUCGUCGGAUACUGCAGAACUAGAGGACGGUAGAGGCGUGUGGAAUUCCGGGUGUAGUGGUGAAAUGCGUAGAGAUCCGGAGGAACACCAGUGGCGAAGGCGACACGCUGGGCCGUACCUGACACUGAUGCGCGACAGCAUGGGGAGCAAACAGG
rnacentral:rRNA from 1 species